rnacentral:rRNA from 1 species
GUGAGGGAUAUUGCACAAUGGGCGAAAGCCUGAUGCAGCGACGCCGCGUGGGUGAAGAAGGUCUUCGGAUCGUAAAGCCCUUUUCUGCGUGACGAGGAAGGACGGUAGCGCAGGAAGAAGUCUCGGCUAACUACGUGCCAGCAGCCGCGGUAAAACGUAGGAGGCGAGCGUUAUCCGGAGUUACUGGGCGUAAAGCGCGUGUAGGCGGAUCGCCAAGUCAGUUGUGAAAGCUCCCGGCUAAACUGGGAGAGGUCGACUGAUACUGGCAGUCUGGAGUACGGGAGAGGGGUGUGGAAUUCCGGGUGUAGUGGUGAAAUGCGUAGAUAUCCGGAGGAACACCAGUGGCGAAGGCGGCACCCUGGCCCGAGACUGACGCUGAGACGCGAAAGCAUGGGUAGCGAACGGGAUUAGAAACCCCUGUAGUCC